rnacentral:rRNA from 1 species
GAUGAACGCUGGCGGCGUGCUUAACACAUGCAAGUCGAACGGAAAGGCCCAAACUUGCUUGGGUACUCGAGUGGCGAACGGGUGAGUAACACGUGGGUGACCUGCCCUGCACUUCGGGAUAAGCCUGGGAAACUGGGCCUACUCCCGGAUAGGACAACAUCUUGGAUGGUGUGCUGGGAAGUUUUUCGGUGUGGGCUGAGCUCGCGGCCUAUCAGCUAGUUGGUGGAGUACUGGCAGACCACGGCGUCGACGGAUAGCCGGCCUGAGAGGGGGUACAGCCACAAUAGGACUGAGAGAGGCACCAGACUCCUACGUGAGGCAGCAGUGGGGAGUAUUGCACAAGGAGAGCAAGUCUGAUGCAGCGACGUCGGGUGUGGGAUGACGGUCUGCGGGUAGUGAACUGCUGUCGGUAGAGACGAAGCGCAUGUGACGGUACCUAGAGAAUAAGCACCGGCUAACUACGUG